rnacentral:snRNA from 1 species
AUCGCUUCUCGGCCUUUUGGUGAGAUACUAGUGUAGUAUCUGUUCUUAUCAGUUUAGUUUUCUGAUAUUUUUUUUUUUUUAAUUUUGGCCUGUGUCUAGAGAACUAAUUUGGAUAAAAGAGGCAGGGGGUACAUCGGUAUGCCAAUACAACAUCCAACUGGAACUUUCAUUAUUUCUAUUGGCAAACAAUCU